rnacentral:rRNA from 1 species
UACAGAGACUGCAAGCGUUAUUCGGAUUCACUGGGCGUAAAGGGUGCGCAGGCGGCCAAGUGUGUGAGGCGUGAAAGCCCGGGGCUUAACCCCGGAAUUGCACCUCAAACUACAUGGCUAGAGCAUUGGAGAGGGUAGCAGAAUUCAUGGGUGUAGCAGUGAAAUGCGUAGAUAUCAUGAGGAAUACCAGAGGCGAAGGCGGCUACCUGGACAAUUGCUGACGUUCAGGCACGAAAGCGUGGGGAGCAAAAGGG